UACGUAGGGUGCAAGCGUUGUCCGGAAUUAUUGGGCGUAAAGAGCUCGUAGGCGGUUUGUUGCGUCGGCUGUGAAAUCCCGAGGCUCAACCUCGGGUCUGCAGUCGAUACGAGCAAACUAGAGUGUUGCAGGGGAGACUGGAAUUCCUGGUGUAGCGGUGAAAUGCGCAGAUAUCAGGAGGAACACCGGUGGCGAAAGGCGGG
rnacentral:rRNA from 1 species